CUUCUCUUCGCAACCAACCCAAAAAUUUACUUUAUGCAAGUGUAUGUAUGCAUACAAUCUCAAAGAAACAAUGAACGAUCGUGUGCCAGGGGACACGGCCGUGUGAAAAUCAACUAAUUUCCCCAAAUCAGCCACACGACUGUGUGGCCAAGCCGUGUGGCACUAAAACUUGCUCGAAAACCCUAUUUCUUAACUGUACACGGCCGUGUGAACCGCCCAUGUGGCC
rnacentral:lncRNA from 1 species